rnacentral:rRNA from 1 species
UACGAAGGGGGCUAGCGUUGUUCGGAUUUACUGGGCGUAAAGCGCACGUAGGCGGAUCGUUAAGUGAGGGGUGAAAUCCCAGGGCUCAACCCUGGAACUGCCUUUCAUACUGGCGAUCUCGAGUCCGGAAGAGGUGAGUGGAACUCCUAGUGUAGAGGUGGAAUUCGUAGAUAUUAGGAAGAACACCAGUGGCGAAGGCGGCUCAGCUGGUCCGGUACUGACGCUGAGGUGACGAAGCGUGGGGAGCAAACAGG